rnacentral:rRNA from 1 species
UACGGGGGAUGCAAGUGUUAUCCGGAAUCACUGGGCGUAAAGCGUCUGCAGGUGGUUUCCUAAGUCCACUGUUAAACCUUGAGGCACAACCUCAAAUCUGCAUUGGAAACUAGGAGACUUGAGUAUAGUAGGGGUAGAGGGAAUUUCCAGUGGAGCGGUGAAAUGCGUAGAUAUUGGAAAGAACACCGAUGGCGAAGGCACUCUACUGGGCUAUUACUGACACUCAGAGACGAAAGCUAGGGGAGCAAAUGGG